rnacentral:rRNA from 1 species
GACACAGGUGCUGCAUGGCUGCGUCAGCUCGUGUCGUGAGAUGUUGGGUUAAGUCCCGUAACGAGCGCAACCCUUGUCCUUAGUUACCAGCACGUUAUGGUGGGCACUCUAAGGAGACUGCCGGUGACAAACCGGAGGAAGGUGGGGAUGACGUCAAGUCAUCAUGGCCCUUACGGCCUGGGCUACACACGUGCUACAAUGGUCGGUACAAAGGGUUGCCAAGCCGCGAGGUGGAGCUAAUCCCAUAAACCGAUCGUAGUCCGGAUCGCAGUCUGCAACUCGACUGCGUGAAGUCGGAAUCGCUAGUAAUCGUGAAUCAGAAUGUCACGGUGAAUACGUUCCCGGGCCUU